AUGGCGCAGCGGGACAAGAAGGUGGAGGAGCCGACGGAGGUGCACCUGCACGCCGCGGAGAUCACGCUCUGCGCCAACAGCUGCGGCUUCCCGGGCAACCCGGCCACCAAGAACCUCUGCCAGAACUGCUUCCUGGCGUCCUCCUCCUCGCCGUCGCCCUCCGCCGCCUCGCCGCCGUCCCCUUCCUCUUCGCCCGCGGCGUUCCCGCUCUUCGACAAGCUGAGGCCGGCCGCCGUCGCGUCGCCCCUGCUGCAGGCGGCGCCCGUCUACAUGGCCGUCGACCGGCCGGCCGCCGGGCCGGCGGACCCGAAGGCGUCCAAGUCGUCCGUCAACCGCUGCCACAACUGCCGGAAGCGCGUGGGCCUGACGGGGUUCCGCUGCCGGUGCGGCGAGAUGUUCUGCGGCGCGCACCGGUACUCGGACCGGCACGACUGCAGCUACGACUACAAGUCGGCGGCCAGGGACGCCAUCGCCAGGGAGAACCCCGUCGUGCGCGCCGCCAAGAUCGUUCGGUUCUGA
rnacentral:rRNA from 1 species